rnacentral:tRNA from 1 species
GGACCAGUGGUCUAAUGGCAUGACGCCGCCCUCACGCGGCGGUGGUUCCAGGUUCGAGUCCUGGCUGGUCCA